UGAACUGACCCUUAAGCAGGCGACGAGUGAAAAGGCGAAAACAAAAAAGAAACAGAUUGUGUUUGGUUUUGGAAUGAAAAAGAUGAUCAUUUUAAUCAAGAUUAAUUGAUAGUUAAAAGAGGAAUACUCUCUCAGCAUGUUGAUUUAACCUGUUAAAUUAGUUGAUUGUCUAUUACCUGACAAUAAUGAUGACUUGUCUUCAAUAAUUAAUUAAACCGGAGCCAUUUUUAUUUUUACUUAAACUCAAAAGCUACAUUUAUUGGGUGCAAAGAGAAAGGUUCUUUUUGCCUCCAGAAGGAUUGUCGAGGUGAGAAGGUGGAGAGGGAGGAAUCAGGAGAGGAGGAGAACCAUCAUGGUGAUAGUUGAAGUUUUCACAGAAAAAUAUGAUGCCGAUGAUGAUGGUGAAAACUUAUGGGAGGUCUUUAAUCAUUAUUCAUUUUUCUUCAAAAAAGACAGUUAAUACGAGAAUUGGUUAUGGUUUAUUAGUGUUAACUUUUAAAUUAACUUUAUUAAUCAAGUACAAUCCAAACCCGUUUCCAUCCAUUAUUCAAAUCCUUUUUUGCUUUGUUUCAACAGUCACACCAUCGUCCAUUGAUAGAUUUGACUAAAUAUCGCUGGACACAAGGAAAUUGUCAAGAUGUUACCUGUACACAUAUUAAUAAAGACUGCCAGGUUAAUGUGGCCUCAAUCAGUUUUUAUAUUGAAACAAUAAUAGCUGCUACUGUUGGUCAUGUUUACCUUUGAUAACGUUACAAAUAAUACAGACGCCUACCAGUUAUUUUACAAUAUUUGGUUAACCGAGUUGAAUACUUGCAAAUGAAAUGGAGUUAAAUGUAGUAUUAACUAACUGUUUAGCUGUCUAACCACAAAUGGUAUUGCAAAUUAUGGUUUUACGAUGGAUAAUAUGACUUUAAAGAUUAUAUCUCCCAACAUUUUUCAAGGGUAACCCUAUUCACUGAGGUAAAAAACAACAACAUAAAAAGGCUGAAAUUAACUCAAGGCUGGAAAAAGAUGUUAAUUUAAAGCCGCCGUAGAUAUUUUGUUUGGUUAAACAAUGAACCGUAAUGUAUAUAGUUCAACUAACAAAAUUUAUUCCUGUUGCCAUUGCUGUUGUUAAACUUUGCUCUUCCAUUGACCUUCAAGUUUAACCAAAUUUAGGAGUCCUUUUGGUAACACCGAGGGCGGUCCUCAGGAGGGAGGAAGAGGUAUAAGGAGCAAAAGAUGUUAAUGAUGAUGAUAAGGAAGAGAAAAAAGAGUCUAAAAUGGAAGGAGUGAUUCAAUUCUUGCAGUGAAAUAUAUAAGGUAAAAUUAAUGAUACUUUUAAGACACCAAAGGAGGAAACAAACCAAGCCAAAUCAAUCUGUCAUUACUAAAUUACUAUGCUUUUCUAAUCGUUCCACUUUUCUGCCUUUACCAAACAAAGAUCACUUCAACAUGAUGACAUUGUUAUAAUUAAAGCAACAAGUGGUAAAUAUAUUAAUCUGAAAUGAAAAUGAAAGAAAUUGGUUUUCCCAGCAAAACUGUAAUAUCUAAUGUUGAACAUUGAAAUAGAUACAGCUUCAAAACUU